rnacentral:rRNA from 1 species
ACAUGUAGGUAUCUUCCCUUUGGUGAGGAAUAACACGAGGAAACUUGUGCUAAUACCUCAUAAGUCUUUACGGAGAAAGCUUUAUGCGCCGAAGGAUGAGCCUGCACUUGAUUAGUUUGUUGGUGGGGUAAUGGCCUACCAAGACUUUGAUCUAUAGCUGAUCUGAGAGGAUGAUCAGCCACAUUGGGACUGAGACACGGCCCAAACUCCUACGGGAGGCAGCAGUAGGGAAUAUUGCACAAUGGAGGAAACUCUGAUGCAGCGAUGCCGCGUGAGUGAAGAAGGCCUUUGGGUUGUAAAGCUCUUUCGUCGGGGAAGAAAAUGACUGUACCCGAAUAAGAAGGUCCGGCUAACUUCGUGCCAGCAGCCGCGGUAAUACGAAGGGACCUAGCGUAGUUCGGAAUUACUGGGCUUAAAGAGUUCGUAGGUGGUUAAAAAAGUUGGUGGUGAAAUCCCAGAGCUUAACUCUGGAACUGCCAUCAAAACUUUUUAGCUAGAGUAUGAUAGAGGAAAGCAGAAUUUCUAGUGUAGAGGUGAAAUUCGUAGAUAUUAGAAAGAAUACCAAUUGCGAAGGCAGCUUUCUGGAUCAUUACUGACGCUGAGGAACGAAAGCAUGGGUAGCGAAGAGGAUUAGAUACCCUCGUAGUCCAUGCCGUAAACGAUGUGUGUUAGACGUUGGAAAUUUAUUUUCAGUGUCGCAGCGAAAGCAUUAAACACACCGCCUGGGGAG